AUUGAACGCUGGCGGCAGGCCUAACACAUGCAAGUCGAGCGGUAGCACAGAGAGCUUGCUCUCGGGUGACGAGCGGCGGACGGGUGAGUAAUGUCUGGGAAACUGCCUGAUGGAGGGGGA
rnacentral:rRNA from 1 species